AUUGAACGCUGGCGGCAGGCUUAACACAUGCAAGUCGAGCGGGGUGAUGGUGCUUGCACUAUCACUUAGCGGCGGACGGGUGAGUAAUGCUUAGGAAUCUGCCUAUUAGUGGGGGACAACAUCUCGAAAGGGAUGCUAAUACCGCAUACGUCCUACGGGAGAAAGCAGGGGAUCACUUGUGACCUUGCGCUAAUAGAUGAGCCUAAGUCGGAUUAGCUAGUUGGUGGGGUAAAGGCCUACCAAGGCGACGAUCUGUAGCGGGUCUGAGAGGAUGAUCCGCCACACUGGGACUGGAACACGGCCCAGACUCCUACGGGAGGCAGCAGUGGGGAAUAUUGGACAAUGGGGGGAACCCUGAUCCAGCCAUGCCGCGUGUGUGAAGAAGGCCUUAUGGUUGUAAAGCACUUUAAGCGAGGAGGAGGCUCUUUUGGUUAAUACCCAAGAUGAGUGGACGUUACUCGCAGAAUAAGCACCGGCUAACUCUGUGCCAGCCGCCGCGGUAA
rnacentral:rRNA from 1 species